rnacentral:rRNA from 1 species
AUGCCGCGUGUGUGAAGAAGGCCUGCGGGUUGUAAAGCACUUUAAGCAGGGAAGAAUGGGCUAAAGCUAAUACCUUUGGUCAGUGACGUUACCUGCAGAAUAAGCACCGGCUAACUCCGUGCCAGCAGCCGCGGUAAUACGGAGGGUGCGAGCGUUAAUCGGAAUUACUGGGCGUAAAGCGCGCGUAGGCGGUUGGCUAAGUUUGCUGUGAAAGCCCCGGGCUUAACCUGGGAACUGCAGUGAAUACUGGUCGGCUAGAGUAUGGUAGAGGGUAGUGGAAUUUCCGGUGUAGCAGUGAAAUGCGUAGAGAUCGGAAGGAACACCAGUGGCGAAGGCGGCUAUCUGGACCAAUACUGACGCUGAGGUGCGAAAGCGUGGGGAGCAAACAGGAUUAGAUACCCUGGUAGUCCACGCCCUAAACGAUGAGAACUAGCCGUUGGGUCCGGUUACGGAUUUAGUGGCGCAGCUAACGCGUUAAGUUCUCCGCCUGGGGAGUACGGACGCAAGGUUAAAACUCAAAUGAAUUGACGGGGGCCCGCACAAGCGGUGGAGCAUGUGGUUUAAUUCGAUGCAACGCGAAGAACCUUACCUGGUCUUGACAUCCUGCGAACUUUCUAGAGAUAGAUUGGUGCCUUCGGGAACGCAGAGACAGGUGCUUGCUGGGUGUCGUCAGCUCGUGUCCGUGACAUGUGGGGUCAGUCCCGUAAGGAGGGCACCCUUGUCUUUAUUGCAUCUUCCGUUGGGACUCUAAGGG